GGCCGGGGCGGCGGCGGCGGCGGAGCCGGGCGGGCGGCGCGGCCAUGGAGGAGCCGUCGGUACCGGACGCCUCGGCGACGAGGCGGGGGCCCAUCAAGGGCAUCCUGAAGAAGAGCGGCAGCAAGGCUUCGUCGGGAGGGGCCGUGGGGGCGCGACAGCCCAGCCAGGCCUGCGACGAGGACGAGCAAGGUAAAAAAUCCCAGAAGUGGGAUGAAAUGAACAUCAUAGCUACAUACCACCCUGCAGGCAAAGAUUAUGGCUUGAUGAAAAUUGAUGAGCCAAGUACUCCCUACCACAGCAUGAGAGGAGAAGAUGAUGAGGAUCCAGUGAGUGAUUCAGAAUGUGAGCCCUUAAGAGCAGAUGUGUUGAGUAAAAAACUGGCAGCUGCAGCUGAAGGUAGAGGACCCAAGAUUAUAGCAAGGCAAGAAGAAAGCAGUGAGGAGGAGGAUGAGGAUGAAGAAUUAACACCUGAAGAACGGGAGAAAAAGAAACAGUUUGAAAUGAAGAGAAAAAUGCACUACAAUGAAGGAAGAAACAUCAAACUGGCAAGGCAGCUCAUUGCAAAAGAACUACAUGGUGAAGAAGAUGAAGAUGAUGAGGAUGAAGAGAUGCGUGAUGCUGCAGAUGUAGAAACAAUGAAUACAGAAGCUACCGAGCACGGGGAAAGGAGGGCUGCAGUAGCCAACCGUAUGAGCCUUCUGCAUGGCCUGAAGCUGCCAUCCCUCUGCACUCUGCUGUAAAACAGAGGCAACUCCGCUCCCCAGCUGCAUUCGCCACUGGAAAGAAGGCAGACCUUUGCAGCAUUUUUCCAUCUCUAUUGUUGAAGUCCAUUCCACCUUCCUCAUAACCAGCUUCAGAGCCACAACUGACUGAGAUUUCUUGCUGAUUGAAAUGAAGAUGGCCAGUCCAGUCAGUGAUGCACAUGUUACUCGUGACCAGCUGGAAAGUGGAGCACACAGCAUAGAAGAAAUCUGUCCAGAACUGUAACUGCUUGUCAAAGACACAAAUAUAAACAUCGCUUCAUGAUUUUUGCAAUUAAGGCUCUUAAAUGUUAAGAAGCAUAUCAGUUACAAUGUUGUAUUGCCAAGAAUGUUAAUUUUAGACUUGUCCAUUAGGCAGAAAACACUGUCUAAUUGAUUUAUUCUCGUGCCUAGUAUUUCAUGGAGAAUACUGCUUCAUAAUUUGUUCAACCAGAAUGGCAUUCCCUGUAUGUAUAGCGCUGAUUAUCUUGCGUGAUGUACUGUUACUCUUGCUUUGAAACACUCACUAUCUUUUGGUUUCACACUAUUUAUUUGAGAGUGUUCUAGAUGUGGUGUCUCAUACGCAAAGUUUUGGGAUUCAAGAGCCAAACGGUACAGCGUAUAUCAGAUUGACAUGUAAGCUAUUUAUCAGAUGUGUUAAGCAGUUUAAAAAGGGAUUAUUCAAGUCCUACAACUUUUUUUUUUGUAAAGUGUUGACCUGUUAAUCUAGAUUUGAGUAUGUUUUUGCCUGCACUUUCCCAGUCUUUAGAACAAGAGCUGUGUUAUUUCUUAAGAGCGGUGUUUGCAGUCGGUUGUUAGUUUCUGACUAAAGCAGUACUAACAUCUAGUGGAGGGAGUGUUUUUACACUGGAAACGGCUAACUUGAACUUUGCAUUUAACUGUCAUAACCUCUUCCAUCAGGACUGGUUGGUUUGUGGAGCUCUCUCUGGCUUAUUGUGAGAACACAAAAGUUCCCUCCAGCUUUUCUCUUAAAAAUCCACAUCCACUGUUACUCUUCUGGCUCUUGUUUCAAAUGUUUGGUUCUUUCCAGUUGCAUGAACAGUUGUUUGCACUGUUAGCACCUGAGGAAAAACACCCAGCCACGAGAAAAUAUACAUCAGGACUGAAGAUGUGCUGAGCUUAGGCUCUGGCUGUUCUUUAUUAAAGAUAACUGCUGUUGAUCUGCUCUUUUGGGGUUGGCAACUUCCAUACUGAAAACCACUGGUCUAAAUCUUCCUGUGUCCAUUGCAACUUACAGCAACUGCUUUUGUAAAAUGAAGGCUUUUUGGAAGCUAGAAGGGAAACUGCCUAAUUCAAAUACUUGUUUACAGUGUGGUUGUAUAGCUGUAAAGAGGGAUUCUGCGCCUCCAAAUUGCUGUAAAAACUUCCCACUGGGUGGAAUUUGACUGGUGAAUGUUCCAGUAUUCAGAGUAGUUCCUGGUUUUAUUACACAAACAAAGUACACACUUAAGCUUUAGCUUGGUUAUGAAAUACAGUGUAUAUCUUAAUUUUGAUCUGAAUUUGAUAUGUUGCAAAAAUCCAUAUAAUUAUAUGGAUCUAUUUUAAAAUGUCUUUUUCUCCACUGUAUAUGUGAAGUUUGAAUAAAGGAAUGAAAGAUAUUUUACAGUUACAUGCAUUCUCAAGUGUGAGCUUUCCUGGAGUCCCAGAGAAAUUGAGAGUGAAUAAGGCAAUAGGAUGCUGUCCUUUGAAAGAUUUUUACAGGAAUGUUUCAUUAGACUGGAUGCAUUGCCAAAGAUAUCUGUGAGUUGUGCUAAGUGUGUUUUGUAGUGUGCCUUUCCCAACUAUCUCCUGUCCUCAGUAGGUAACAGGGUGGUCAGUUCUGGGUUAGUUAAUCUUCUAAGGUCAUGAAUCAAGAUUAAUAGGGUCUUCUCACAAGAGUUGAACUCUUGAUUCUGGCCAGUGUGGUAAUGCUAGUUUUUCAACAUGCAGAGUGCUAUUCUUGUAUCAAAUGUGGUCACUUGCAUAGAUUAAACAGGGGCAAAGGGUAAGCAUUUAGAUAUUUCUGACACGUCAAAUCACUACUGUAGCUUUCAGUUUGGUUCCUAAGAAUAGGAUUUCAGAACUUUAGGCUUGUACCUUUUAUAAAUCAGCUUGCAGUGUUCAGAGUGUUGGCCUGUGUGCACUGAGCUGUGUUUCAGACCUGGCAGCUGCUGGCCUGGCCUGCCCCAGCUGGGCACUGAAAUCCUGCUGAGAGCGUGGCAGUGCUCAGCAAAGCCAUGUCACUGUCACUGAGCGUGGUGAGCAGUGUGUGCAGGUAACACCAGUGUGCUCUGUGAGCUGUGGAACAUGUCACUUGUACUUUGUGCUGAGUACCCACGGGUACUUUGUACCUGCGACUAAGGUAGAAUCCAGCAGCAGCAGCAGAUCUUACCUGAGCUAAUGUCCUGCCCUCCUUAACCCCCCACCUUCUUGUGUCCAAGGCCAUUUGGUGCUCACCAGGGCUUCUUUGGACCUUACAAGGUCUAGCAAGCAUUUUGUUUAACAAACUUACUUUGCUAACUUCCAGUAAAGACCUUUCCUGUAAUGGCUUCCAAAAUCCUAAAUGAAAUGAGUAUGUAUCUUUGAGGGAGGUACACAAAUGCAUGAAGAUGGUUUUAAAUGAACCACAUAAUGUAUGUCCCUUCAUCACUCUGGUGAUUUUGAACUGCUUGGGUGAUCUCCCUUUUUCUGUGCCAUCAAGCACCUGAAUUCCAAGCUUGAUGCUAUUUUGAAACUUGAUUUAGUUUGGGUUUUUUUUAAAGGCUUUGUUCUCUGCAUUUUCCUCAGUGCUCACAAAAAUUCUGUUCACAGUGCUUGUCUUCCUCAGCAGAAGUGCAACCCAAUGUCCCUGACAUUGCUUCUAACUGAAAGGCUGGUUUACUUGGUUUUCUCUGCUUACACCUUGAUGCAUAUUAAAAGCUAAAUCGGGCAAGUUUUACUUUGCAGUGGCUCCAGAAACUCCAUAUAGCUUUUUUACAAAGGGAUGUCUGAUUUCCCUCUGCUUGAGAAAUAUCAGAGUUCCCUGCUGAAUGGGGACAAUAGAAGAAAUGUGUUUUCUCUUUUUGCAUUUGAUGAGGACUUAGCUUGCUUGCACAUCUUAAUCUUGAGGUGCAUAUGGUAAAUACUCAUGUGUACAGUACAGAGUGGUGUAAAGAGGAAACAAACACAGCGCUUACUUAUGUGGUCAGUGAGCUCCACAGCACCAUAAUUGUGAAUCUUCUUGCACAGGUUUAAGUCCUCGAGCUGCAUCCUGUUUAGAGAAACCAUUUUCAAUAUGCUUCCAGUAGGAAGAUCAUUUACAAAUAAGAGCCUUAACUCAUGUGUAUAGGUUUUAUUUUUUCUGUCCAUAGUUUCUUUCUCACCAACUUGUACA